CUCUACGCCUUAGAACACAGCUCUAGACCUCCUGGACCGAGGGCUACAGGUCCAUGUAGCAGUGGAUGCCUGCUCUUCUCAAAGGUUCCGUUUGGGAGAAAACUGUUCUAUACAGCACCGACGUGGCGCAGCGUAGACACUCGCCUCUCUUCCUCCUGCUUUGUCCUCCGCAGUGAGAUGAACCGGCUGGUGGCACUGGCCCGAAUGCAGCACAGUGGUGUCUUCCUGUCCACUAGCGAAGCGCUGACUCUCCAACUUAUAAAGGAUGCUGCCCACCCACAGUUCAAGGAGAUUCAGAAGAUCCUCAAGGAGCCAGUCCCAGAAAUCGGACUGUUAGGUUUCUUCCAAGGCAUGAACAACCCCCUGUUGCCCAACUCCAGGCCCUGACUUGAAGGAAGCACCCACCCUCCUUGUCACCCAGACGUUGAUGGAUGACUUUUCCUUCAUCCCUGGAUCCCAAGAGUGGUGCAGUCCUCCAGGAGAACCGCCCCCGUGGGAGAGGAGGCGUGGUUAUGUCUUCCGAUUGGGCAGCUGGCCCCGGAAAUGCAAAUGAAACUCCUUGAAGCUGGGUGGGAAUUGGUUUAGAGAAAGGUGGAGGUGGGGCUGGGCCCCGGGCCACUUCACGAAGCGGGAAAAGGAGGGGGAACGAAUGUCACAACUGGGACCCAGUCUCGAAGAAUAAACAUUGAUGUGACUGAG
rnacentral:lncRNA from 1 species